rnacentral:lncRNA from 1 species
AUAUCUUGUGUGCCCCCUCACAAGUUCUUAUGUUAUUUCUUUUCUAGAUGUCUACAAAUCUGGUUUUGAAGAUCACCAAUAGUAAGAAACUGGUCUCUGUUUCUCUUUGUUAUUGAAUUGUGGCAGUGGUCCCCUUUCUGAUGGGUGGGUUUUAAUCUUCAUACUGAGCUGAAGACAGGGCAAAGCUGGUAUUGUUUGGGCCACCUGUUGCAUUUCAAAAGUGUUAGCAUGCCAUGUUUGUUGUUCUUCAGAUCUUCAACAUUUCGUGAAGGGGUCCGGACCUUCUGCACUCCUUCAGGGAGAAAUGCAGCUGUUGUUUAGUUCUAGCACUUGAACUGUAUUGGUGCUCAGCAUGCUGAGGUCUGGCAUUUAAAACAGCUGGCACCUUUGUCCUUGCUCAGUUCUCGUACUUGGUGGAUGCGGUUUCUUUAUUGAAGCACGGAAUUUGGACGGCUUUUGGGAGUGAUGUUGUGUUUCUAUAUGACAGUGUUUAUACAGUUUACUGUAAGAAUGUGUAUCUUAGGGGAUGACUGCUGUAGCAUUAUUGUGGGAAUGUUGAUAAAGAAUGGGGAGGGUGGGCCUUCCUUUUCAGCCACCGAACGACACCACCUUGAAAGAGCUGCUCUGCCCAUGCCAGUGCCAGUGCCUGCGCCCGUCGACACUCCAAGCACACCAUCGUCAUGGACAAAGUGGCCACCCGGCCACCAAGAUCACGCCUCGGGAGUCCGAAGCCAGCGAAGCAGCGAAAGCCUCUCACUCACCAGCACCCUUAGACAUGUAGCGGUUAAGCAGGCGUCCCCUGAACGCCUAAGAAGCUGCAGUCCGCUUACCUUCACGGUAGCAGAAAGGCCUUGGUCGUGGAUUUUCCUGGCCAGGGCGGCAGCCAAAGGACCUCGCUCAGUGCAGCUCCCAGGUCAGUUCAGGGUGUGCCCUUGCACCUUCAGGGUGUCGGGCAUUGCACUUGCGAAGGGGCCGUCCAGCUCCCCGGCCCGGGUCGCGGCUAAAGCCAGGCAGCCAGUUAGCAUCACGCAGAGCACCUGA